GACGAACGCUGGCGGCGUGCUUAACACAUGCAAGUCGAACGGAAAGGCCCUGCUUUUGUGGGGUGCUCGAGUGGCGAACGGGUGAGUAACACGUGAGUAACCUGCCCUUGACUUUGGGAUAACUUCAGGAAACUGGGGCUAAUACCGGAUAGGAGCUCCUGCUGCAUGGUGGGGGUUGGAAAGUUUCGGCGGUUGGGGAUGGACUCGCGGCUUAUCAGCUUGUUGGUGGGGUAGUGGCUUACCAAGGCUUUGACGGGUAGCCGGCCUGAGAGGGUGACCGGCCACAUUGGGACUGAGAUACGGCGCAGACGCCAACGGUAGGCAGCAGUGGGGAAUAUUGCACAGUGGGCGGAAGCCUGAGGCAGCAACGCCGCGUGCGGGAUGACGGCCUUCGGGGUGUAAACCGCUGUCGCCUGUGACGAAGCGUGAGUGACGGUAAUGGGUAAAGAAGCACCGGCUAACUACGUG
rnacentral:rRNA from 1 species